rnacentral:tRNA from 1 species
GUGCCCAUAGCUCAGCUGGAUAGAGCGCUAGAUUGCGGAUCUAGAGGUCGGAGGUUCGAGUCCUCUUGGGCACG